UGGGGAAUUUUGGACAAUGGGCGCAAGCCUGAUCCAGCCAUGCCGCGUGUCUGAAGAAGGCCUUCGGGUUGUAAAGGACUUUUGUCAGGGAAGAAAAGGGCGGGGUUAAUACCCCUGUCUGAUGACGGUACCUGAAGAAUAAGCACCGGCUAACUACGUGCCAGCAGCCGCGGUAAUACGUAGGGUGCGAGCGUUAAUCGGAAUUACUGGGCGUAAAGCGGGCGCAGACGGUUCCUUAAGCAGGAUGUGAAAUCCCCGGGCUCAACCUGGGAACUGCGUUCUGAACUGGGUGACUAGAGUGUGUCAGAGGGAGGUAGAAUUCCACGUGUAGCAGUGAAAUGCGUAGAGAUGUGGAGGAAUACCGAUGGCGAAGGCAGCCUCCUGGGAUAACACUGACGUUCAUGCCCGAAAGCGUGGGUAGCAAACA
rnacentral:rRNA from 1 species